ACGAAUUAUCUGGGGUGCCGACUGGCUGAGAUUAUACCCAUUGAACCUGAUUAGAUUAAAGUCUGCGUAGGAAGAUAGUGAUGAUAGUUU
rnacentral:ncRNA from 2 species